UACGUAGGGUGCAAGCGUUAAUCGGAAUUACUGGGCGUAAAGCGUGCGCAGGCGGUUUUGUAAGUCUGUCGUGAAAUCCCCGGGCUCAACCUGGGAAUUGCGAUGGAGACUGCAAGGCUAGAAUCUGGCAGAGGGGGGUAGAAUUCCACGUGUGAGCAGUGAAAUGCGUAGAGAUGUGGAGGAACACCGAUGGCGAAGGCAGCCCCCUGGGUCAAGAUUGACGCUCAUGCACGAAAGCGUGGGGAGCAAACGAGGAUAGUAAACCGUUGUAAGAUCCAAUGACCCA
rnacentral:rRNA from 1 species